UACGUAGGUCCCGAGCGUUGUCCGGAUUUAUUGGGCGUAAAGCGAGCGCAGGUGGUUUAUUAAGUCUGGUGUAAAAGGCAGUGGCUCAACCAUUGUAUGCAUUGGAAACUGGUAGACUUGAGUGCAGGAGAGGAGAGUGGAAUUCCAUGUGUAGCGGUGAAAUGCGUAGAUAUAUGGAGGAACACCGGAGGCGAAAGCGGCUCUCUGGCCUGUAACUGACACUGAGGCUCGAAAGCGUGGGGAGCAAACAGG
rnacentral:rRNA from 1 species